GUGGGGAAUUUUGGACAAUGGGCGCAAGCCUGAUCCAGUAAUGCCGCGUGUGUGAAGAAGGCCUUCGGGUUGUAAAGCACUUUUGUCCGGAAAGAAAUCUCCUGGGUUAAUACCUCGGGGGGAUGACGGUACCGGAAGAAUAAGCACCGGCUAACUACGUGCCAGCAGCCGCGGUAAUACGUAGGGUGCGAGCGUUAAUCGGAAUUACUGGGCGUAAAGCGUGCGCAGGCGGCUCUGCAAGACAGAUGUGAAAGCCCCGGGCUCAACCUGGGAACUGCAUUUGUGACUGCAAGGCUAGAGUGCGUCAGAGGGAGGUGGAAUUCCGCGUGUAGCAGUGAAAUGCGUAGAGAUGCGGAGGAACACCGAUGGCGAAGGCAGCCUCCUGGGACGACACUGACGCUCAUGCACGAAAGCGUGGGGAGCAAACAGGAUUAGAAACCCGUGUAGUCC
rnacentral:rRNA from 1 species